UACAGAGGGUGCGAGCGUUAAUCGGAAUUACUGGGCGUAAAGCGUGCGUAGACGGUUCUGUAAGUCGGAUGUGAAAUCCCCGGGCUCAACCUGGGAAUUGCAUUCGAGACUGCAAAGCUUGGGUGCGGAAGAGGGAAGCGGAAUUUCCGGUGUAGAGGUGAAAUUCGUAGAUAUCGAGAGGAAUACCUGUGGCGAAGGCGGCCAACUGGACGAGUACUGACGCUGAGACACGAAAGCGUGGGGAGCAAACAGG
rnacentral:rRNA from 1 species